AGAGGAGAAUACGCUCGGCUCACGCUGGUGCCGGUGGGAGUGGGGUCUGAGGUGCGGUCUGGAGCCGAGCCGGCUGGGCUGCGGAGGAGACCCGGCAGGCCGAGCCGUUGCCCGCAGGGCCUGGACGCGGAGGGCGGCACGGAGCGGCGCGAGCCGCCGGGGUCCCAUGAGGGGCGGGCCCGCGCGCGUUCGCGGGGGCUGCGGAGGUCUUACCCACUCUCCGCCUCUCCAGAGCCGGUCUCCGCUCCCGGUGCGGCCGCCGGCCCCUCUCCAGCCCCAGCGGCCGCCGGCUCCGUCUCUCUGUCUUCCGCCGUUGUGGCACUUGCAGCUGCUCCAGCACCAGAGCCGGAGCCUGCACCAGGGCCAGGACCUGCUCCAGUCGCCGCCAUUGCUGCUACUUCCCAAACUCUCGCGAGAAUACAUCCGUGCGGCGAGUUGCCACCGCGCGUGGCACUCUUAAAGUGGAUUUGCGUUUUUAAAAACGUCUGCUCAUUCUCGUGGCUAGGAGUGGAGAUCACUGCGCACACGAGGAUUUGAGGCUCUCGCUCACACUAAAACGUGGGGAACUUCCGAACCACCACCAACCUCUCCCUGGCUCCCGCCUGUUGUGAGCUUCUAUAACGUUUCCAAAGGCUCUCGCGGAGACUACGUAGAGAGCCGGAUUCCCGACAGCUGGAGCAGUCCCCACAGAGCCUCCCCGCACUAUGAUCUGGCCAGCAUGGAGGGCGUUUUUAGGUUGGUUCCAGGAGGAUUUCUUAACCUGCCAUAAGCAACUUCAGCAAUAUGGUCUUACCAUCUACUACUGGUCGGCAACCAAGAGGAACAGCAAACCUCCCUGACCAACAACGCACAAGGAGAGACCUCUAACCUGGCUUGGGGAUUUUUGUUUAAUAAGCUGUGACUCCUGAAAGCAGCAGUGUCCACCCAUGCUAGGUACCCCAUUAAUCUUUUUCUCUAGCUUUUAAAGAAACAGUUACAGAAUCCUGUUUCCACUGUGAUUUUUAUAUAUCUUUUGUUUUGGAUAACCCACCCCCAUUUCCACCCUGGUUUUCGCCCCCUCUUUGUACUACCUGCAUUUCAAUAUCCCCCUUCUCUCUGUACUUCUUUAAGCCCCUUAAAAUAUUUUUCUGGUUCCAAGAUAAAGCAGUUGCUUACGUAA